rnacentral:rRNA from 1 species
UACGUAGGGGGCAAGCGUUGUCCGGAUUUAUUGGGCGUAAAGAGCGUGUAGGCGGCUAGAUAGGUCCGUUGUGAAAACUCGAGGCUCAACCUCGAGACGUCGAUGGAAACCAUCUGGCUAGAGUCCGGAAGAGGAGAGUGGAAUUCCUGGUGUAGCGGUGAAAUGCGCAGAUAUCAGGAAGAACACCCGUGGCGAAGGCGGCUCUCUGGUACGUGACUGACGCUGAGACGCGAAAGCCGUGGGGAGCAAACAGG